GCGCAGCAGUCGCGAAUCGUGGACAAUGGGCGAAAGCCUGAUCCCGCGACGCCGCGUGGGGGAAGAAGGCCUUCGGGUCGUAAACCCCUGUCAGGGAGGACGAAGGGUAGCUUGGCGAAUAGCCUUGCUACCUUGACGGUACUCCCAGAGGAAGCCCCGGCUAACUACGUGCCAGCAGCCGCGGUAAUACGUAGGGGGCGAGCGUUGCUCGGAUUUACUGGGCGUAAAGGGGGCGUAGGGCGGCCUCGCAAGUCGGUGGUGAAAGCCCUCGGCUCAACCGAGGAAUUGCCACCGAAACUGCGAGGCUUGA
rnacentral:rRNA from 1 species